GCGAGCAUAGCUUAGUUGGCAAAGCGCGAUCUUGCCAAGAUUGAGACCGGGUGUUCGAGUCACCUUGUUCGCU
rnacentral:tRNA from 1 species